AUUUGCUCUGUGAAUUGGACUGCAGUGUAUGGCAUGUCAAAAAAAUUUCAACAUCAAAAUUUAAUCAUUUAUUUAUUGAAUAAAUAUUGUACGUCAACGUUGUGCGAUCGGUUGCUUCCCCCAGAGAUUCAGAUCAUCGUCGAAAAUGAUCUACUGGUGCUGGUGUGAGCCAAAUAAAACCAAGCUCAACGUUAUGUGAGAUAUAUUUAUAAAGAUCCAACAUAAUGAAUCUCAAUAUGAACAACAUCGUCAGGAUGGCUCAAAAAAAAUUAAAACCAAAUGCAGUACCAACUUUGUUUGGUGAUGUUUUGAUAGUUUUUUUAAGUAAAAUUCACCAAAAUACAA